ACGGAAGGCAGCAGUGGGGAAUAUUGCACAAUGGGCGCAAGCCUGAUGCAGCGAUGCCGCGUGAGGGAAGAAGGUUUUCGGAUUGUAAACCUCUGUCAAUAGGGACGAAACAGACGGUACCUAUGAAGGAAGCACCGGCAAACUUCGUGCCAGCAGCCGCGGUAAUACGAGGGGUGCAAGCGUUGUUCGGAAUCACUGGGCGUAAAGGGAGCGCAGGCGGAGAUGCAAGCAGUCUGUACAAUACCGGGGCCCAACCCCGGACCUGCAGACUGGACUGUUUCUCUUGGAUAGCUCAGGGGCUGGCGGAAUUCCUGGUGUCGCGGUGGAAUGCGUAGAGAUCAGGAAGAGCACCGAUGGCGAAGGCAGCCAGCUGGGGGCUUAUCGACGCUCAUGCUCGAAAGUGCGGGUAGCAAACAGGAUUAGAUACCCUGGUA
rnacentral:rRNA from 1 species